UACAGAGGUCCCAAGCGUUGUUCGGAUUCACUGGGCGUAAAGGGUGCGUAGGCGGUCGGGUAAGUCUGAUGUGAAAUCUCACAGCUUAACUGUGAAACUGCAUUGGAUACUAUUCGGCUAGAGAGUUGGAGGGGGGACUGGAAUUCUUGGUGUAGCAGUGAAAUGCGUAGAUAUCAAGAGGAACACCAGUGGCGAAGGCAGCUCUCUGGGACGGUACUGACACUGAGACGCGAAAGCGUGGGGAGCGAACAGG
rnacentral:rRNA from 1 species